UACGUAGGUGGCAAGCGUUGUCCGGAUUUACUGGGCGUAAAGAGCGCGCAGGCGGUCGUUCAAGUCGCGUGUGAAAGCCCCCGGCUCAACUGGGGAGGGUCACGCGAUACUGAUCGACUCGAAGGCAGGAGAGGGUAGUGGAAUUCCCGGUGUAGUGGUGAAAUGCGUAGAUAUCGGGAGGAACACCAGUGGCGAAGGCGAGUCUCUGGACAUUUCCUGACGCUGAGGCACGAAAGCCAGGGGAGCAAACGGG
rnacentral:rRNA from 1 species